rnacentral:lncRNA from 1 species
AUAAAUCCAAGAAAUGUGUGCUACAUGAGUUUCAGAAAACCUGCAUCAAGUCCUGAAGGCUAAGACCACGAUGCUGGUAUUGCUUAGCAAUAUGAACUACCAUCCGCAAAUUUGCAGUAAUCAGCUUUUUGCGACUGAUAGUACCAGAUUGAAGUUGUGACUGCAAGACUGGAUAACUAAGACCAAUAGCAUCAGCCCAUUCAACGAAGGUUGGUUCACGGCCAAAUUGAAACUGAAGCCUCUUUUUAACCUCCUCUAACCUCAUUAAAUCCUGUUCAAUAUUCCAUGUCCAGCAAAAGAAAAAGGAGUUCCAAAAUCAAAUGCCAAUAUUUUCUAACAAAAGCUAAGAGCAGUCACAAAACAAACAUUCAACUAAGUAUUGAGUUAGAUGUCUUUCAGAGACACACCUGCACUUGAGCAAUCAAUUCAGACUCCUCUGAAGCAGUCAAAAGUUGUUUUGUUUCAGGACCCCACAAAAAUAAUCGAAGGGGAUCGUUCAGAUCAAAACCUUCAUUUAACUUUUUUUGUAAAUCUUGCUUUCUAGAAUUAUGAUGAAACAACACUUUUGCUUUAGGCAUCCUCCGGUUUUUAGAUUGUCUCUCUAAACGCCGUGUUGACCUAACAGUUUUCACCUCCUCAAAUGAAAAAUUAAAUGGACUUGUGGACUCCACGCUGCAAAAGUAUUAGAUUUCAGUUUCAAAAACAGAAACACAAGAUAAUAGGAUAUGUUAGCAGAUGAGAGCUCACAAGAACAAACCUAGUAGAAGUUUUACCAUCAUGAUUAGUGAGCUUUUCAGCUAGUUCUGCUGCUUGUUUUGAGGCUGACAAAGCUUUCUUAGCAAGGUCAACCACAUUAGUUGGUUGAACAACCAUAAGCUUGUCAGUCUCUUUUGCCAAAGACUGCAUGGUCACCGACAAGGAUGGACUUUCCGCAGUUUGUAAAGCAGACACUCUUCAAUAGCAAACAGAAGAUCAUUUAAGAAUGUCAUUUACGACCAAAAUCUGAAUUAGAGGAAACUGAUGAGAGCAGCAAAAAAAAAAAAAAAAAGCCCUGUUGCAUUUAAUAUAAAUCCAAGAAAUGUGUGCUACAUGAGUUUCAGAAAACCUGCAUCAAGUCCUGAAGGCUAAGACCACGAUGCUGGUAUUGCUUAGCAAUAUGAACUACCAUCCGCAAAUUUGCAGUAAUCAGCUUUUUGCGACUGAUAGUACCAGAUUGAAGUUGUGACUGCAAGACUGGAUAACUAAGACCAAUAGCAUCAGCCCAUUCAACGAAGGUUGGUUCACGGCCAAAUUGAAACUGAAGCCUCUUUUUAACCUCCU